GAUGAACGCUAGCGGCAGGCUUAAUACAUGCAAGGCUAGGGGGCAGCAAUGUCACCGUCGAACGGGUGCGUAACGCGUAUGCAACCUACCUAUCACUGGGGGAUAGCCCGGGGAAACCCGGAUUAAUACCCCAUAAGAUAGUAGAUAGGCAUCUAUCAGCCAUUAAAACUCCGGUGGUUUGAGAUGGGCAUGCGCGACAU
rnacentral:rRNA from 1 species